GACGAACGCUGGCGGCGUGCCUAAUACAUGCAAGUCGAACGCAGUGGGGACGGGUGAGUAAUAUAUAGCUAAUCUCCCCUUGCUGGAGACAACCGUUAGAAAUGACUGCUAAACUCAUACGCAAGGGAUGAGACUAUAUCGUAUCAGCUAGUCGGUGGGGUAACGGCCUACCGAGGCGAUGACGCGUAACUGGUCUGAGAGGAUGAUCAGUCACAUGUGAAGUGAGACACGGUCCAAACUCCGACGGGAGGCAGCAGUAGGGAAUAUUGCGCAAUGGGGGAAACCCUGACGCAGCAACGCCGCGUGGAGGAUGAAGCUUUUCGGAUCGUAAAACUCUGUUGUUAGAGAAGCGGUAUCUAACCAGAAAGCCACGGCUAACUACGUGCCAGCAGCCGCGGUAAUUC
rnacentral:rRNA from 1 species